GACACGAUUCGGCACAUCCGCAGACCUAAACCUCCAUGUGUGGUAGUAGGAUGUUUCCAGGUGAUUUUGUGCGUCAUGCCCAUUGCUCAGUUCAUCAUUGGAGCGUUGUACCAGUUUGACUGCCCCAGGCAGCGCUACAUUCCCAUCUACCUGCUGGUGAUGGGAGUGGUCUCCAUGCUGCUGGGUCUGCUCUCCAUCCUUCCGUGUUGCGCAGGCUUCGGCAGCCACAGCAGCGCCUGGACCUGCCUCGUCUCACUCUUCUUCUUCUGCUGGUUCAUUGCUGGAAAUGUGUGGAUCUACUC